GCCAUGAACAUGUCCCAGUCUUAUGAGAGCUUAGAGAAUAGCCUUUACUAACAUUCUUCUUGAAGCGGCUUCAACUUCGCCCUCACAUAGGUGAUUUCUAAACGUUUAUCUUGUAGAUUAAACUAUUUGGUCAAAUCUGCCAAAUUUAGAUAAUCAUUAAAAGACUUUACACCAUAAGUCUUAUGGUUGUUUACUAAACAUUGUCUACAUCAUGAGAAUGGGUAGGGUAUAUUGACAAUGCCGAACCUGUCAAAUGAUCUUGGGUGUAUUUAUAUGCCUAAGCACCAUAACUUACCCAUAAUUUAUCUAAGUUUUGAGAACAAAGUGUCUAGUUUCUUAUGUUCUUACUCUACUUUGAUGUAAUUGAGCUAACCUAUGUGAUUAGCAUAAUUUCAGGUGUUAAUGAGGUAGAUAGAGACAUGAUGGGACUACGGAUUGCGGAAUGACAAAUCACACAAGAGAAAAGUAGCUUGUUAGACCAAAUAUGGCGCCUAAAAACUAUGUCCAAGACUAAUUUGUCCUUUAUAAUUAGUUCAGGGACUUAGAAGGCAAUUAUGAGAGAAAAGAUUAUUAAAAAGACUUGAUGCUGAAUUUUUAUCAUUAUUCAUUAUUCUGUAUUAUUUUUGCACUGAGAGUGGCGGCUUAGCACCAAG
rnacentral:lncRNA from 1 species